rnacentral:lncRNA from 1 species
GACAGUUAUGUAUUUAAAUAACCAUCAUAAUCCCCAGGAAGUAGACAGCACCUCUGCCUUGGGCAGCGGUUUGCGGGCACACAAGUCUCGAACUGAAAUAAGCAGGCAAGACAUAAUUAGACAGCGCUUCUCAGCCUACAGUGGUGCCUUACGAGUCUGAGCGACCAGGUCUGCGCAUGGAGAGCCCGGCCUUCUUAGGCGGCGACAGGUGUGUCCUCCGGACGGGCUCCUGGCCGUCUCCACCAGCUUUCUCGGGCUGAACGCGGCUGGGCUCCCCCAAGGCCUCCCCUUGCUGACGGCUCCACGCCUGCUGGACGAGAAGCGGCCUCCCCGGGGCGUCGCAAGCCCCUGGGACAAGAAGAGGAGCCGACAUUGAGGGAGACCUGAGCAGUGGACGCAGGCAGCGUCAGCCUGGGCGUCCCCGGAGUCGCGGCGAGACCCUGGCUCCCCACCACCGCCCGGCUCUCAGCUUUGGCAUCGCGUCUCCAGAGAGGGCGGUGGAUGACGAGGAACUGCAGCAGUGUACGACCCCCGGGCUCCAGACGACCCUGGGGAGAGCGCGCAGAGUUCCUGGCUAGCGGCCCCCUCGCAGCCGGGCACCCCUUCUCGGCUGCGCGCAGCCACUUAGGGGCACAAGAUAAGCCCCUGGGGAGGGAGCGGGCUGCAGGCGCGGUGGGGAAGAACGGCCCGGACGCAGCCGGGCACAGGGAAGGCCGGGCCUGCAGACUGGAGAGACGUGGGCUGCGGUGAAACCGUUAGGGCUGCUUUGCCGCGCACAGACGCGGAGGCCUUUACAAGGCCGGCAGGCCUCGCCCAGGGCCUGGGCCGCCGCAGGUGCCUUUGGGUCACACCCGGGGCGAAUCCCACCCCCUCCUGGGGCCGCUUCUGUUUACCAAACCCCUCAGGCUAUUGCGUUAGUUGUGCGGGGGAAGGAUAGAGGCAGGGUCCUCUGGUGGAGGGGAGGGAACUGGGGACCCGGGGCUGCUGGGGACGCAGGCGACAGAAUGAAAGGCGAAGAGGCGGCAGCUCGAAUCUGUCUGGGGGUGAUUUUAACCGGCGCAGAGGUGCAGCAUAUGCUUUCCAGGUUGGACUGCGGAAUACAAAGAACGACUCUGAGCCCGGGGAGCCUCCUGACACCGAAACCAAACGAUCCCGACCUAGGGGGGCUGAGUGGCAGGAGACUGGAUUUUUUGUUGAGUUGCAAUUAAAGGGAGAUAAUUAAGCCCGGAGCCGCGCAGCUUAUUAAUAUUUAUAGCCCGGAGCGACAGGGCCUGCGCUCGCUGGAAGCGGAUUUGCAGGCCCAGGCGCGGAGCCGGUGUCUCCUGAGCCAGGGGCUUCGCAGACUCGGGAGGAGAAGGCUCGAUGGGGAAAUUGGGGAGCGUCCGCCUUCUGCGUUUCUCCUAAUUACGCCAGCGGUCAAAGUCCGGCCGGGCCGGAACGUCCCGAAGGCCGGGAACCGCGCGAUGCCCGAAUGCGGGGCGACCCGGCCGCAGUAUCCAGCAUUUCGGAAGCCCAGGUUUCACUGGGGCGCCGCUACGGUUCCUAUGGCAACGCGGCUCCUCGACGCAGCCCAGGAGUCGCGGUCGCGGGAGGCUGCGCCGCGCACCGAGCUCUUCCCUGUGGCCGCCGCAGCCGCCAGCCUCUUCCUGCUCAUGCUUUUCCUCAUCUUCAUCUCGGUCUGAGUGGGCUCUGGACCUCUCCACCAGCCUCUGCCCCAGAACUGUUAACUGCGGGGGGGAAAAAAGGAAUUUGUCGUCGCAACGCGCGUUCCGAUGGAGCCGCACGCCACAAAGGAAGACUCAUGCUGCACCCCGCGGGGCAGAUGCGGCGACACUGGACAUCGCUGCACAGCUGGGUCUGCCCGUUUCCAGAGCUGCUUAGCGCCGACGCCCAUAAAUGAGGAGGACUCCCUGUGUAUUAAAAGGGGGAUCCGCAGGGUUUAAUUUGAUAAGGAUUAUAGCCUUCAUAAAGGCAUUUUUAACAAAAAGAUGUAGGUGGCAUGGUAAUCGAGUAUUAUUUACGCAUCUCUCCGCACACGCACUCAUACCUGAAAACGUUUUGGCAGGCACAAAAUGAUUUUUUUGUGUAUAAAGAAUGUGUGUAACUCGUGGAUGGUGGGGUUCAGCAGGACAGAUUAGUGACAUUAGAUAAUUUACAACGAGGAUUAUGUUUGUGCUGAAAAUAAAAGCUAUAUUGUUUAUUUAGUUCAUUGCCAUUUGCAUGUGUCCAAGCCUUUUAUUAACAUUAACCAGCUAGAAAAUAAUGGCAUAAUGACCACCUAACCUGUUUUAUCAUGGGAAAGUAAAUGUGAUGAAAAAGUAUUCAGCACCAAUACCCAAUAGAUAAAAACAUUUGCCCUUUGUGGCUAAUUUACACAUUGUUUGAAAUAGAUAAUGUAUACUGUUCUUUUAAUGUUCACUUUCUUGACCUUCCU